UUAAGUUCAGCGGGUAUUCCUACCUGAUCCGAGGUCAACCUUCAGAAGUGGGGGGUUUAACGGCUCGACCACGCUGAGUUCCGGUGCGAGGUACAUUACUACGCAGAGGAGGCUACAGCGAGACCGCCACUAUAUUUCGGGGGCGGCAGCGCCCUUGGGGCAGCAGCCGAUCCCCAACACCAAGCUGGGCUUGAGGGUUG
rnacentral:misc_RNA from 1 species